rnacentral:rRNA from 1 species
CCUACAAGUAUUAAAGGUCUCGCCUGCCCAGUGACUCUUUAAACGGCCGCGGUAUCCUAACCGUGCAAAGGUAGCAUAAUCACUUGUCCCCUAAAUCGGGACUAGAAUGAACGGCUAAAUGAGGACUAAACUGUCUCUUACAGCUGACCAAUGAAAUUGAUUUCCCAGUACAAAAGCUGGGAUUUACCCAUAAGACGAGAAGACCCUGUGGAGCUUCAAAACCAAACCAUUUAGUAUGUCCCUUGGUUUUUUAGUUGGGGCGACUUCGGAAUACAACAAAACUUCCAAAAUAAAAUAACUCAUUAAGGUUAACACACCAAAACCUCCACACAGACCCAGCAACUAAUUUGUCUGACCAAUGAACCAAGUUACCCCAGGGAUAACAGCGCAAUCUCCUUUUAGAGUCCAUAUCGACAAGGGGGUUUACGACCUCGAUGUUGGAUCAGGACACCCCAAUGGUGCAGCCGCCAUUAAAGGUUCGUUUGUUCAACGAUUAACAGUCCUACGUGAUCUGAGUUCAGACCGGA